AAUCGGCUUGCAUAGUAAUGCAUCUAAGAUUCCUAGGUGGGACAAUCCAAAAGAUAGCCUCAAUAAUCACGGCUCGAGUUGUUUCCGGUACGACAAGCUGUGGCGAAGUAGUUAGCGCCGUCAAACUAGUGUUUACUCUCGAACAGCUGUUCGAGAUCACGCAGGACAAUGACUCGGUGGAACCAAAAUCUAAGGUUGACCGAUGCUGUUGGUGGAGGUAUCGGUUCGGCCGUCAUCGUAAGAACCGGGUCCAGAUAGGAACUACUGGGCAGGGCACAUCAACUCGAUAAACGCGUCGCGACUGGAACCCGAGAAUCAAUAAUGUGGCAAUUGCACUACAUCACAGGAAGCGUGCACUGUUUAUUUUGAUGCUGAUUCACUUUUGACGUAGGACUAUUUUGUCCGGUUCUGCUGACGGCAUAAAAUAUCGGACGGAGCGUCAAUCUUGAUGUCGGGGAUCUCGCAUGCCUGUGACGGUUUUGAUCCUGGCCUCAACUCGAGCAAUAGCAUCCAGCCGGGAACGAUGUUCCCGUCGCACUCAGUUAAACAGUGCGCUGCUGCGGUUUCGUUAUCAUCGCAGAUUUGUAGCCUUCGAUGAUGAGUUCGCUUCCGGUACGGCGGCACCUAGCUAAACUUUUCUCAAUUAACGCACAAUAAGAUUUACAAACGCUUGUUACUCGAAACGGCGCGAUCGAGCAGUACGUUGGAGGUCAAAUUUGUAUUUGUAAUUAGAGCGGUUUUACCCCAAUGGUCAACAGAUUCGGCACGCUCAGAAGAAACUCCAGGGGCCCUUCGUGGAUGCGUACAUUUUCAAGAUUGACGUCCAUGAGCCGCAUGCUUAUUACCGAACAAAACUCCUCCCGCGAAAGGCGUGCGGCAAACGAUCCACGGCACCAACAUCAGACGUCAGUUUUGGCAGAACCAGUCGACGACAUGAUCAUGGUAAUCUAACAGGUUCAGCUAUGGUCAGCCGAUGACGUUUCAAUAAAAACCGUGAGUAAAGAAAGAAUUCUGUGUUAUUGUUUUGCUAAUCACACUUAGAUUCUUGAAAAUUUGUUCUCAAAUUGCUAUUCAUGUAAAAUUUGAUCACGAUAAGGGAACGGCAUGUAUUUCCAUCGAACACGUAAUAUUAAUCUUAGACUUUCGAUAACAGUUUGUAGAAAGCUUGUUCAACUGGA